rnacentral:rRNA from 1 species
UAGGGAAUCUUCGGCAAUGGGGGCAACCCUGACCGAGCAACGCCGCGUGAGUGAAGAAGGUUUUCGGAUCGUAAAGCUCUGUUGUAAGUCAAGAACGAGUGUGAGAGUGGAAAAUUCACACUGUGACGGUAGCUUACCAGAAAGGGACGGCUAACUACGUGCCAGCAGCCGCGGUAAUACGUAGGUCCCGAGCGUUGUCCGGAUUUAUUGGGCGUAAAGCGAGCGCAGGCGGUUUGAUAAGUCUGAAGUUAAAGGCUGUGGCUCAACCAUAGUUCGCUUUGGAAACUGUCAAACUUGAGUGCAGAAGGGGAGAGUGGAAUUCCAUGUGUAGCGGUGAAAUGCGUAGAUAUAUGGAGGAACACCGGUGGCGAAAGCGGCUCUCUGGCUUGUAACUGACGCUGAGGUUCGAAAGCGUGGGGAGCAAACAGGAUUAGAUACCCUGGUAGUCCACGCUGUAAACGAUGAGUGCUAGGUGUUAGACCCUUUCCGGGGUUUAGUGCCGUAGCUAACGCAUUAAGCACUCCGCCUGGGGAGUACGACCGCAAGGUUG